AUUGAACGCUGGCGGCAGGCCUAACACAUGCAAGUCGAACGAGUGGCGGACGGGUGAGUAAUGUCUGGGAAACUGCCCGAUGGCGGGGGAUAACUACUGGAAACGGUAGCUAAUACCGCAUACCAUCGGAUGUUCCCAGAUUGGUUUGGCUAGUAGGUGGGGUAACGGCCCACCUAGGCGACGAUCCCUCGCUGGUCUGAGAGGAUGACCAGCGACACUGGAGCUGAGACACGGUCCAGAGUCCUACGGGGGGCAGGAGUGGGAAAUAUUGCACAAUGGGCGCAAGCCUGAUGCAGCCAUGCCGCGUGUAUGAAGAAGGCCUUCGGGUUGUAAAGUACUUUCAGCGAGGAGGCGUUACUCGCAGAAGAAGAAUCGGCUAACUCCGUGCCAGCAGCCGCGGUAAUUC
rnacentral:rRNA from 1 species